AUUGAACGCUGGCGGCAGGCCUAACACAUGCAAGUCGAGCGGAUGAAGGGAGCUUGCUCCUGGAUUCAGCGGCGGACGGGUGAGUAAUGCCUAGGAAUCUGCCUGGUAGUGGGGGAUAACGUCCGGAAACGGGCGCUAAUACCGCAUACGUCCUGAGGGAGAAAGUGGGGGAUCUUCGGACCUCACGCUAUCAGAUGAGCCUAGGUCUGAUUAGCUAGUUGGUGGGGUAAAGGCCUACCAAGGCGACGAUCCGUAACUGGUCUGAGAGGAUGAUCAGUCACACUGGAACUGAGACACGGUCCAGACGCCUACGGGAGGCAGCAGUGGGGAAUAUUGGACAAUGGGCGAAAGCCUGAUCCAGCCAUGCCGCGUGUGUGAAGAAGGUCUUCGGAUUGUAAAGCACUUUAAGUUGGGAGGAAGGGCAGUAAGUUAAUACCUUGCUGUUUUGACGUUACCAACAGAAUAAGCACCGGCUAACUUCGUG
rnacentral:rRNA from 1 species